UCUACUCCGAGCUCCGUGCUCGGUAGAAGAGAAAGAGUUUUCCCCAGCGGACACAAGCAUCACUGGUAUAGAAGUAGCUGCGCUCCCCUGCUAGUAUAUGAAUAAUGAUGUAUUAAUAUGUAAACUAAAC
rnacentral:sRNA from 1 species